GACGAACGCUGGCGGCGUGCUUAACACAUGCAAGUCGAACGGAAAGGCCCUGCUUUUUUGGGGUGCUCGAGUGGCGAACGGGUGAGUAACACGUGAGUAACCUGCCCUUGACUUUGGGAUAACUUCAGGAAACUGGGGCUAAUACCGGAUAGGAGCUCCCGCUGCAUGGUGGGGGUUGGAAAGUUUCGGCGGUUGGGGAUGGACGCGCGGCUUAUCAGCUUGUUGGUGGGGUAGUGGCUUACCAAGGCCUUGACGGGUAGCCGGCCUGAGAGGGUGACCGGCCACAUUGGGACUGAGAUACGGCCCAGACUCCUACGGGAGGCAGCAGUGGGGAAUAUUGCACAAUGGGCGGAAGCCUGAUGCAGCAACGCCGCGUGCGGGAUGACGGCCUUCGGGUUGUAAACCGCUUUCGCCUGUGACGAAGCGUGAGUGACGGUAAUGGGUGAAGAAGCACCGGCUAACUACGUG
rnacentral:rRNA from 1 species